rnacentral:rRNA from 1 species
AUUGAACGCUGGCGGCAGGCCUAACACAUGCAAGUCGAGCGGAUGAAGGGAGCUUGCUCCUGGAUUCAGCGGCGGACGGGUGAGUAAUGCCUAGGAAUCUGCCUGGUAGUGGGGGAUAACGUCCGGAAACGGGCGCUAAUACUGCAUACGUCCUGAGGGAGAAAGUGGGGGAUCUUCGGACCUCACGCUAUCAGAUGAGCCUAGGUCGGAUUAGCUAGUUGGUGGGGUAAAGGCCUACCAAGGCGACGAUCCGUAACUGGUCUGAGAGGAUGAUCAGUCACACUGGAACUGAGACACGGUCCAGACUCCUACGGGAGGCAGCAGUGGGGAAUAUUGGACAAUGGGCGAAAGCCUGAUCCAGCCAUGCCGCGUGUGUGAAGAAGGUCUUCGGAUUGUAAAGCACUUUAGGUUGGGAGGAAGGGCAGUAAGUUAAUACCUUGCUGUUUUGACGUUACCAACAGAAUAAGCACCGGCUAACUUCGUG